rnacentral:rRNA from 1 species
UACAGAGGUGGCAAGCGUUGUUCGGAAUUACUGGGCGUAAAGGGCGCGUAGGCGGUUCGUUAAGUCCUGUGUGAAAUCCCCCGGCUCAACUGGGGAACUGCACAGGAAACUAGCGGGCUUGAGUUCGGGAGAGGGAAGCGGAAUUCCGGGUGUAGCGGUGAAAUGCGUAGAGUAUCCGGAGGAACACCGGUGGCGAAGGCGGCUUCCUGGACCGACACUGACGCUGAGGCGCGAAAGCUAGGGAGCAAACGGGAUAGAU